UCUCCGUAGGUGAACCUGCGGAGGGAUCAUUACUGAGUGAGGGCUUCGGUCCGACCUCCAACCCUUUGUGAACCAAACUUGUUGCUUCGGGGGCGACCCUGCCGCUUCGGCGGUGCGGCGCUCCCGGUGGCCCAAAAAACUCUUGUUUUGUAUGGCCUAUCAGAAAUACUAUCUAAUAGUUAAAACUUUCAGCAACGGAUCUCUUGGUUCUGGCAUCGAUGAAGAACGCAGC
rnacentral:misc_RNA from 1 species